UACGUAGGGGGCAAGCGUUGUCCGGAAUUAUUGGGCGUAAAGAGCGCGUAGGCGGUCCGAUAAGUCGGCUGUGAAAGUCAGGGGCUCAACCCUUGGAAGCCGGCCGAUACUGUCGGACUAGAGUCCGGAAGAGGCGAGUGGAAUUCCCGGUGUAGCGGUGAAAUGCGCAGAUAUCGGGAGGAACACCAAUGGUGAAGGCAGCUCGCUGGGACGUUACUGACGCUGAGACGCGAAAGCGUGGGGAGCAAACAGG
rnacentral:rRNA from 1 species